AUAACCAUUUCUUUUCUAAUUUGUAAAGGUGGUAAUGCGAAUCAGCAGCUGUGACACGUGUUUAUCUAAAGAGGAUGGGGGGUUGUUUUUGUUUUUAUUUUUUUUUAUUUUCCAGGAAAAGCUUGCAAGGAAUAAGCACUCAGCCAUUCUGCAGUGAUCUGCCAAUGUGACCCAUUUGCUGCUAACACUGGCUUUUUAACUUAGUUUAGUAAUUUGAAACUCCUAGAGUAAGUGAAUCCUCAGCCCACAAGAACAGAGCA